CUGGAAGCAUCUGACUACUCUGCCAUCUUGGCCCCACCUUAAAGAAUGUUUUAAGAGAAAGCAAUGGCAUCACUGUUGUUAAGAUUAAAAUGAGAAGUCCCAGAGGAAGCAGAGUGCUGGUAGUUUCUGUUGCACCUCCGGGUAGACUCUUCUCCAUUCCUCAGCUCUGCAGUUAGAAGGGGAAGAAACUGAGCCCCUGGGUGGUAGAACCAAAAGAGGGAGGGAGCUUGGGUCCCUGAAUCAAUGCUUUGUUGUUAUUUGCUAUUGUGGAGUUGGCCCCAACUCAUGGCAACUUCAUGAAUAAAAUGCUACCCGGUCCCGGACCAUCCCCAUGAUCAUUUGCAGAUGGGAGAAUAUUCUGUAGUGAUCCAUAGGGUUUUCACUGGCUGAUCUUCCGAAGUAGAGUGCCAGGCCUUCCUUCCCAGUGUGUCUUAGUCAGGAAGCUCCACUGAAACCUGUUGAGCAUCACAGCAACACACAAGCCUCCUCUGACAGAUGGGUGGUGGCUGCCCAUGAGAUCCGUUGGCCCAGAAUUGAACCUGGAUCUCCUGCAUGGAGACUACAUCAACAGGCAGAGGAGGCCUGUGUUGGAACCUAGAAGGCCUCAGUACACACACACAUUGCAGAAAUAGUCCACACAGGCCUUCUGAAAGUCAGUGACACCACAUGAUUUAGUUAGGGUAAGUAACACCAGCUGCUGCAACAAACGAUCCCCAAGAUCUCAGUGGCUCAGUGUAGCAGGAGUUGAUUUGUCACUCAUGCGAGGUUGAAUUGGGCAGCCUCUAAGGUUCAAUGGUAUAAUUCUAUCCUCAUCCUACAAACCCAGAUGGCAGUGGUACUUACUAUGGAACAUAACUUUCCAGAAUCUUUUCCUCUCAUCCCUGUUGUUGUUGUUAGGUGCCAUCAAGUCAGUUCCCACUCAUAGCAACCCUGUGUACAACAGAACGAAACACUGCCCGGUCCUGCACCAUUCUCACAAUCGUUGUUAUGCUCGAGCCCAUUGUUGUAGCCACUGUAUCAGUCUAGCUCUUUGAGGGUCUUCCUCUUUUUUGCUGACCCUCUACUUUACCAAGCAUGAUGUUCUUCUCCAGGAACUGAUCCCUCCUGAUAACAUGUCCAAAGUAUGUGAGACCAAGUCUUGCCAACCUUGUUUCUAAGAAGAAUUCUGGCUAUACUUCUUCCAAGACAGAUUUGUUUGUUUUUCUGGUAGUCCAUGGUAUAUUCAAUAUUCUUCACCAACGCCGUAAUUCAAAGGUGUCAAUUCUUCUUCCUUGAUCAUCCUUAUUCAUUGUCCAACUUUCACAUGCAUAUGAGGCAAUUGAAAAUACUAUGGCUUGGGUCAGUCUCACCUUAGUCUUCAAAGUGACAUCUUUGCUUUUUAACACUUUAAAGAAAUCUUUUGCAGCAGAUCUGCCCAAUGCAAUAAGUCAUUUGAUUUCCUGGCUGCUGCUUCCAUGGAUGUUGUUUGUGGAUCCAAGUACAAUGAAAUCCUUGACAACUUCAAUAUUUUCUCUGUUUAUAAUGCUGUUGCUUACCGGUCCAGUUGUGAGGAUAUUUGUGUUCUUUAUGCGAGGUGCAAUGCAUACUGAAGACAGUGGUCUUUGAUCUUCAUCAGUGUGUGCUUCAAGUCCUCUUCACUUUCAGCAAGCAAGGUUGUGUUAUCUGCAUAAUGCAGGUUGUUAACUGGUCUUCCUCCAAUCCUGAUGCCUCCUUCUUCUUUAUAUAGUCCAGUUUCUUGGAUUGUUUGCUCAGUAUACAGAUUGAAUAAAUACAGUGAAAAGGUACAACCCUGAUGCACACCUUUGCUGACUUUAAACCUCACAGUAUCCCCUUGUUCUCUUCAAAGAACUGCUUCCUGGCCUAGGUACAGGUUCCUCAGGGCACAAUUAAGUGUUCUGGAAUUCCCAUUCUUUUCAGUGUUAUCCAUAAUUUGUUCUGAUCCACGCAGUCGGAUGCCUUUGAAUAGUCAAUAAAACACAGGGAAACAUCUUUCUAGUAUUCUCUGCUUUCAGCCAGGAUCCAUCUGACAUCAGCAAUAAUGCCUGUCAUUCCAUGUCCUCUCCUGAAUCCAGCUUGAAUUUCCGGCAGUUCCCUGUUGAGGUACUGCUGUCAUCGCUUUUGAAUGAUCUUCAACGAAACUUUACUUGUGUGUGAUAUUAGUGAUGUUGUUUGAUAAUUUCUGCAUUCUGUUGGAUCACUUUUCUUUGGAAUGGGCACAAAUAUAGAUCUUUUCCAGUUGGUUAGCCAGGAAGCUAUCUUCCAAAUUUCUUAGCAUAGACGAGUGAGCAAUUCCAGUGCUGCAUCUGUUUGUUGAAACAUCUCAAUCGGUAUUCUGUCAAUUCCUGGAGUCUUGUUUUUCACCAGUACGUUCAGUGCAGCUUAGACUUCUGCCUUCAGUACCAUCAGUUCUUGAUCAUUAGCUACCUCCUGAAAUGGCUGAACAUCGACCAAUUCUUUUUGGUACGGUAACUCUGUGUAUUCAUUCCAUCUCCUUUGGAUGCCUCUUGCGUCCUUCAAUAUUUUCCCAGUAGAAUCCUUCAGUCUUGCAACUCAAGGCUUGAAUUUUUUUCUUCAGUUCUUUCAGCUUGAGAAAUGCUGAGUGUAUUCUUUCCUUUUGGUUUCUAUCUCCAAGUCUUUGUCUGUUCCAUAUCCCCACCCUAAUCUCUCAGAAACUAGUGCCCUCUGCUAAAAGGUUGAUACGUUAACCCUUCUGAAGAGCAACUUGUUGUUUCUACAGGUUAGGUUCUAAUGGUGGAGACAAGGAAAAGAACUUUUAACACGAGCUUUUUCUGCUUAAAAGUCACUCCAUUGGGGCCAGUGGCUCUAGCCCUGGCCACACAGGGAAAUUACUUAGAGAGCUGUAAAGAAAGUGUUUUUAUAGUGAUAAAAUAUAUAUCACAAAAAAUUGCUGUUUCAACCAAUUUUAAAAGUGUAAUUUAGUGACAUUAAUCAUAUUUGUCAUGCUGUGCAACCCUCACCAUUAUGAGAGUUUUAAAAACCAAACAUGGGUACCUUCUCUGCCCCCAUGACUGUGAUUUAAUUGGUCUGGGGUGGAGCCUAAGCAUAAGAAAUUUUUCAAUAUCCCAGCUAGAGCUGCUAGAUUUAGCAAAUAAAAAUACAGGAUGUACUUUUGCAUGUGACAUACUUAUAUUAAAAUUUUUCCUUGUGUACCUGAAAUUCAAAUAUAACUGGGCAUCUUAUAUUUUAUCUGGCAACCCCAGUCCCAGGUAAGUUAAAUGUGCAGUCAGGGUGGAGGACCACGAAUUGAAGCAGAUGCCUGUCCAGCCUCUGAUGAGGGCCUAAGCACACCUGAGUCAGGAAGGUUACAGUGACUUGACUCAUAGCGUCUUCUCAAAUAAAAAGGGAGUUCCCCGUGGCCCAGCACCAAAAUGCUAUGGUAAUAGAAGCACGGUUGAGAGAAAGUAAUUCCAAUCUCUCCUUGCAUCUGUCCAAGGGCAUUCGAGGAGAUCCAGUUAACUCGACAUCACCUGCUCUUAACACUGAUCCCCAAUGCACAAGCCUCCAAGCCUCUCCCUCUACAAGGUGCUUCUCCGAGUGUAGUCCUCAGACCAUCACCUGGGAGCUCGUCAUAAAUGCAGAAUCUCAGGCCCCAGCCCAGACCCACUGAAUUAUAAUCUUUAUUUUAACAAUUCCCAGUGAUAUGUGUACUGACAGAUACUGCUCUUUAAAUCAUAGGCUCAAACUUGACUGCACAGUAAAAUCACCCAGAUGCCUGGGUCCCACCCCCAGACAGUCAGAUGUAAUUGCUUGGCAUGUGACCUGGGCAUCAGACCUUUUAAACCCUCCCCAGUUGAUUCUAAUGUGCAGUCAUAGGUGAAAACCACAGGUCUAAGUUCAUCUUUCUCAGCCUGGACUACUGAUAUGUUGGGCCUCCUCAAAGUAGAGUCAACCUUAAUGACAUGGAUGGAGUCGAGCUUUCGAGACCUUCAUUUGCUGAUGUGGUAUGACUCGAAAUGAGAAGAAACAGCUGCAAACAUCCGUUAAUAAUUGGAACUUGGAAUGUACAAAGUAUGAAUCUAGGAAAAUUGUCAAAAAAGAAAUGGAAUGCAUAAAUAUUGAUAUCCUAGGUAUUAGUGAGCUGAAAUGGGCUGAUACUGGCCAUUUUGAAUCAGACAAUAACAUGGUCUACUAUGCCAAGAAUAACAACUUGGGAUUCCAUUCGUUGUCAAAAAAAAAAAAAAAUCUAGAUCUAUCCUGAAGUACAACACUGUCAGUGAUAGGAUAAUAUCUAUACACCUACAAAGGAAGACCACUUAAUACGGCUAUUACUCAAAUUUACACACCAACCACUAAGGCCAAAGAUGAAGAAAUAGAAGAUUUUUACCAACUUCUGCAGUCUGGAAUUGAUUGAACGUCCAAUUAGAGUGCAUUGAUAAGCACUGAUGAUUGGAAUGCAGAAGUUGGAAGAAAGAUCGGUAGUUGAAAAACAUGACGUUGGUGAUAGAAAUGAUGCUGGAGAUCGCAUGACAGAAUUUUGCAAGACCAACAGCUUCCUCAUUGCAAAUACCUUUUUUCACCAACAUAAAUGUUGUCUAUACAUGUGGACCUCACCAGAUGGAAUACAUAGGAAUCAAAUCAACUACAUCUGUGAAAAGAGACAACGGAAAAGCUCAAUAUCAUCAGUUAGAAUAAGGCCAGGGGCCGACUGCAGAACAGACCAUCAAUUGCUCAUAUGCUGAAUAAAAUUUGAACAAGUCCAUGAGAGCCAAAGUAUGACCUUGAGUAUAUCCCACCUGAAUUUAGAGACCAUCUCAAGAAUAGAUUUUAAUGUGUUGAACACCAAUAACCGAAGACCAGGUGAGUUGUGGAAUGACAUCAAGGACAUCAUACAUAAAGAAAGCAAGAGGUCAUUAAAAAGACAAGAAAGAAAGAAAAGACCAAAAUGGAUGUCAAAAGAGACUCUGAAACUUGCUUUCGAAUGUUGAGUAGCUAAAGCAAAUGGAAGAAAUGAUGAAAUAAAAGAGCUGAACAGAAGAUUUCAAAGGGUGGCUUGGGAAGACAGAGUAAAGUAUUAUAAUGACAUGUGUAAAGACCUGGAGUUAGAAAACCAAAAGGGAAAAACAUGCUCAGCAUUUCUCAAGCUGAAAGAACUGAAGAAAAAAUUCAAGCCUCGAGUUGCAAUAUUGAAGGAUUCUACUGAGAAAUUUUUUUUUUUUUUUUACUGAGAAAAUAUUAAAUGAUGCAGGAAGCAUCAAAAGAAGAGGGAAGGAAUACACAGUCACUAUACCAAAAAGAAUUGGUCGAUGUUCAGCCAUUUCAGGAGGUAGCAUAUGAUCAGGAACCGAUGGUACUGAAGGAAGAGGUCAACGCUACACUGAAGGCAUUGGUGUAAAACAAGGCUCCAGGAAUUGACAGAAUACCAGUUGAGAUGUUGCAGCAAAGAAUGGAGAGCUGAAAGUACUCACUCAUCUAUGCCAAGAAAUUUGGAAGACAGUUACCUGGCUAACUGACUGGAAGAGAUCCAUAUUUAUGCCUCUUUCAAAGAAAAGUGAUGAAACAAAAUGUGGAAAUUAUUGAACAAUAUCAUUAAUAUCACACACAAGUGAAAUUUUGUUGAAGAUCAUUCAAGAGCAGUGACAAAAGCACAUCGACAGGGAACUGCCAGAAAGUCAAGCCAGAUUCAGGAGAUGACGUAGAACAAGGGGCGUUAUUACUGACAUCAGAUGAAUCCUGGCUGAAAGCAGAGGAUACCAGAAAGAUGUUCCCCUGUGCUUUAUUGACUAUGCAAAGCCAUUCAACUGUGUGUCAUAACAAACUAUGGAUAACAUCGCAAAGAAUGGGGAUUCCAGAACACUUAAUUGUGCUCAGGAAACCCUGGUGGCAUAGUGGUUAAGUGCUGCUAACCAAAGGGUCAGUAGUUUGAAUCCACCAGGCGUUCCUUGGAAACUCUAUGGGGCAGUUCUACUCUGUCCUAUAGGGUCGCUAUGAGUCGGAAUCGACUCGACGGCACUGGGUUUGGUUUUGGUUUGGUUUAAUUGUGCUCAUGAGGAGCCUGUACGUAGAUCAAUAGGCAGCUGUUCGAACAGAAUAAGGGGAUACUGCAUGGUUUAAAGUCAGGAAAGGUGUGCAUCAGGGUUGUAUCCUUUCACCAUACCUAUUCAAUCCAUAUGCUGAGCAAAUAAUCUGAGAAGCUGGACUGUAUGCAGAAGAAGGUGGCAUCAGGAUUGGAGGAAGACUCAUUAACAACCUACAUUAUGCAGAUGACACAACCUUGCUUGCUGAAAGUGAAGAGGACUCGAAGCACUUACUGAUGAAGAUCAAAGUCCACAGUCUUCAGUAUGGAUUACACCUCAACAUAAAGAAAACAAAAAUCCUCACAACUGGACCAAUAAGCAACGUCAUGAUAAGCAAAGAAAAUAUUGAAGUUGUCGAGGAUUUCAUUGUACCUGAAUCCACAAUCAGUGCCCACGGAGGCAGCAAAGAAAUCAAACGAUGCAUUGCUUUGCGUAAAUUUGCUGCAAAAGACAUACUCACCUUGAAGUCUAAGGUGUGCCUGAACCAAGCCAAGGUGUUUUCAAUCAUCUCAUAUGCAUGCAAAAGCUGGACAAUGAAUAAGGAAGACCAAAGAAGAACUGACGCCUUUGAAUUAUGGUGUUGGCGAAGAAUGUUGAUAUCGUGAACUACCAAAAGAACGAACCAGUCUUGGAAGAAGUAUAGCCAGACUGCUCCUUGGAAGCAAGAAUGGUGAGACUACAUCUCACAUACUUGGUAAAGUAGAGGGUCGGCAAAAAAGAGGAAGGCCCUCAAUGAGAUGGAUUGACACAGUGGCUGCCACAAUGGGCUCAAGUAUAACAACAAUCAUGAAAAUGGCUCAGGACCAGGCAGUGUUUCAUUCUGUUGUACAGAGGGUUGCUGUGAGUUGAAAUCAACUCGAGGGCACCUAACAACAACAAUUCUUUGUUGUGUGUGUGUGGCGGCAGGGGGCAGGGUGCGGUCUUAUACAUUGUAGGAUGUUUAGCAGCAUCCAGGGCCUCUAUCCACUAGAUGUCAGUUGUUUUAACCAGGCAUGUCUCCAGGCAUUGCCCAAUGUCUCUUAGAAAAGUAACAUCAGCCCACCCCCUCCACCCCGACCCUGCCCCACUGAGAACCACUGUUGUAAAUUUUAUACCAAAUCCCCUCCUCUCACACAACCCAGUGGCUUUUCUGCUUUUUCCCUCUCUCCUUUGUCUGGUAGCUAAAUUUUCUCUUUCCUGUAAUUGGUACAGCUCUUGGAUUCUCUACUGCAGUGGCUCUCAAAGUCUGUUCCCAGGACCAGCAGUGUCUGCCCGUAUCACCUGGAAAUGUGUUAGAAAUUCUCAGAUUCUCAGGCCCCACCAGACCUAUUGAAUCAGAAGCUCUGGGAUUGGGGCCCAGCAAUCUCUCCAGGGAAUUCUGUUGUAUGCUAAUGUACAACAACCCCGUGGGACAGAUAUUCUCAUCUCCAUUUAAUAGAGGUGAGAGCUGGGGUUAGAGGAGAGGAGUAAAUCACUUAAGGUUACAGGAAUGUUAACCUAACUCUACCUGUCUCCCUUUCUUUCCAUAAUUCUGCUUAUAAGGCAAGAGAGCAGCUAGGGCUGAAAACCUGGGCAGGUACACAAGCCAGGUGGCUCCUCCAUCCCCUCUCCUGGGGUGGGGGGGGGGCUGCGUUUAUGGGUCUCCAGGCUUAAUCACUUCAUCAGCAUGAUUUAUAAAGAAAUGACCAAACAAUGAGGGAAAGGGAAGGGAGAAAAAAAAAUGGGAGAGGAGAUAAAGGCGGACAUGAGAAAUCAGCAUAUUUUAGGAAGAUAUAAGCUAAUAGAUGGGGAUAGACUAACAGAGUUGUUGUUGUUGUUCUUAGCUGACAUUGAGCUGGCCCUCCACUCAUGACAACCUCAUGCACAAUGGAAUGAAACAUUGCCCAGUCCUUCACCACCCCUACGAUGGCUGGGGAUCAGACCACUGACAGACGAGUGGUGGCUGUGCAUGAGGUCCAUUGGCCAAGAAUUGAACCCAGGUCCCCACGUGGAAGGUGAGAAUUCUACCACUGAACCACCUCUGCCUCCAACUAACAGCAGAGAAAGAGGAAGCCUGAGAACAAAAAGGGCAUCAGCUGGGUUGUAUCUCACAUCCCAGAAAGCAGAGUGAAAGGACAGAGAUGCAGAAACAGGAGAGGAAAGGUAAGAAAUAGAGGAUCCAUCCCGAAUGCCUGAUGUCUGACUAGACAAGGUAGCAGAAAGAGAACUGAGAAAACAGAAGGGAGGAACUUAUCCAUGAGAUAAUACAAGAAACUUUCCUGGAACUGAAGGAUAUAGAGCAGCAGAUGAAUGGUGGUUUUUAAAAUAUCUCACUCUGACGAAUGAGGUGGAAAGGUUGCCUGUAGAUGGUGGGUUUGGCAGCCAAAAGCAACUCUUAGCCUCUCCAUAAGAAACUUUUUAGUAGCUAUAAUAAACUCGAACACCGUCAGGGGCAGAGAGGUGAUGCAGAUGAGUGAGGCUGGAUGUGUAAGGCAAUAGGGAUUGGUAGAGAUUGUGUUUGGUUGUAGAGAAUAUACCCACCAUGAGGACUUUCCCUUUGACAUUAAAAAAAAUUCCUUUUGCAUGCCAGCCACAUCAGGGGGUUGAAUUCGCCCCUCAGAAUGCCAGUUUGCAGCCCCUGCUGCAGCCCCUUCAUUGAUUAAAGAAUGGUGGGUGAUAGAUGAGACUUUUUCCUAGGUACGGAAGCAAGCUUUGCUGCAGUUUGGGUGAAUUUUUGUCUCUUGUACAGUUCCAAUUUGGAGAAGCAGAUUAAUGCAUUUAUUUGGAAAGGAGAACUCACCCCUGUGGUUUCUCCAUCUUGGGAGGAAGUUCUGUGGGAAAAAAAAAAAAAAUCUGUUGUUUUGAAACACUUUCUCCCAAAGUAUUUUCAAUACUUACUCCCCAGAUGGUGUGCGAAGGAGCCCGGCAGAGCUGAGGUUGGGGACCGGAGACUCACAAAGGGCUGAGUCAGCCAUCUUCUAACCCCGUCUCAGGGCAUCUUCUGAGUCUCUGUAGAUGGUCACCAUGAGCACUUAUUAUUACCCACUCUGGAGGUGGCAACUGCAAAUAAGCAAGCAUUGAGUGCCUGCUGAAUGCAGAAACUUUUGGUGGUAGGGGAAAAGAGGAGGCGUGUGAGUUUGCGUUGGUCAAAUGCUGGGCUAGAGGUCAGGGGACUUGUGUUCUAAUGGUGGCUUUGCAGUCUUUUUCUGUGAGAUUGUGAACAAGUGACUUGGCCUCUCUGAGCCUCAGUUUCCUUCUUUGUGCCUUACCUAUCUUUAGGGCUGCUGGGAGGUACAUGUGAAAACCUGUAUGAGUAUGCUUUCAAGAGUCACCAAGGCCUGGGAAGCACAGGGUAUUGUCAUCACUGUUGGGUGAAAUCUGAAAUCUGAGACUGAUUCAAAAUUCACGUGCAAGAUGAACAUCGGCACGCAUAAAGUAAAACACCGGAAACAGAAUCCCAAAGAGAGGCAGCGAAGCAUAGCAGAGAGGCUAGAAAUUUGGUUCGAGGUCGGCUCUGCUACUGUGACCUGAAUUGCUUCUUGGCUUCCUCACCCAUAGAUGAGGUCAAGAUAUCCACCUUGCAGGGUCAUUUCAAAACAACCAUAAUCAUAAUAUAUAUUUGGGCAUAUACUACAUGUUUUACAUACCAUCUCUCAUUUAAGCCCUGCAGCAACCCGAAGAGGUAGGAAUUUCCACUUCUAUUUCACAGAUAAGGCUCAGAGAAGUUGGCUAAUUUGUCUAAAGUCACACAGCUUGCAUAUUGUGUACCAUUCUGUGAAAAUGUUUAUGUCAGGCCCUGAGCAAAGCUCCAGUGUUGUCAGCAAUCACAAGUGCUACCGCCACCCCAGCAGAAUAAGGAAGUGCUGAGCGAUGGGGCGGGCCAAUCCCGGAGGACUUCCUGGAGGCAUGAAGUCAGAGCCUGAAGCUGGAUAAGGGCCACUGACAAGUGAAGAGUGGGAGGAUUCCAGGUUACAGGAUUUCCUGAAGUUGAUGUAAGUGAUGCUGGAGAGCUAUUCCAUGCACCUGCAAAGAGACUAGCAAAUGAGGAUCUGGCAAACUUAAACGAAGAAACAGCUGAAGAAGAGAAAAUUGACAAGAAAGCUGGGUCCUGGGAACUCCACAUGCCUUGGGGAAACCCAAGAAGAAAAGGCAACGGUCCACAUCCCCAGCAGUGGCAAGGGUGACUCAGGUCUGUGGGCUGACAUGCAGCGGCCACAGGGAUCAGACCUGCCAUGCUUACAGGGCCUGUGGACAGGAGCUGGUCUCCUAAGCCUCUCAGGCGGAAGCAGCCGGCCCUGCACACUGUGCUCCCCACCCUCUUCUUUUUCACACCCUCAGCCCGACAUCCCUCCCCAGGCUUCUGCCCAGAUUCCUGCCCAGGUUCUGUGACUUUCUGUCUCUGGGCCUCACCUGUAAAGUGAGACCAAUAAUGCCUGCCUUGCAGUAUGCUUGGUGAGGAUGAGACUAUACACAGAACGUACCUGGUGCUCCACUCUCCUCACUCCGGACAUGGUAUCUAAUUUUUUUAAAUAUAUUAUUAUCUUCAUCACUGAUCUUCAAGCCAGAGGAGCAGGAGAUAGAGAGAAGGCGAUUGCCCCUUGCUCAGGAGGCUGGUGACCUCAAGGGUGGCCUGAGCCCUAAGCCUUGAUGGGGGGUCCUAAGCAUGAGUGCUUUGCAUCUAACCCAGCUGCAUUGCCUCAUUUCAGCAGAUCCCUGGGCACUCCUUUUCCCCUGCUUCUAGUCCCAGACCACAAGUUUCUCAUUCCUAGGUCCCUUACUGCCUGAGAAUCAAGACCCCAUGUCUUGAUUUGUGACAGAACCAUGACCAAAACCCCAAACCAAACGCAUUGCCUUUUUGUCAAUUCUGACUCAUGGCGACAGGUAGAACUGCACCAUAGGGGUUUCUUGGCUAUAAUAUUUACAGAAACAGAUCACCAGGCCUUUCUUCCAAGGCACCUCUGGGCAGACUGGAACCACCAAACUUUCAGUUAGCAGCUGAGUACAUUAAACAUUUGCACCAGUGUAUAUACCCAUUCCUAAAUAAUACUUCGCAGACUGCAGUUGGUUUUUCACUCAGUGAGUUUUUGAGCUUUGCAUAUCAAUAGAUGUAACUCUAGUACAUGGAUUUUAACUUUUGUGUAGGAUUCAAUUAUAGGAAUAGAUUGCAAUUUGUGUACCCAUUCUACUGUUGAUGGACAUUUAAGUUCUUGGGUUGUUUUUUAUAACCCAUGAAAUGAUUAUAUUCUUCUAUUGAUUUUUCUUCAUAAGUGUUAAGUUUCAACUUUCAAUGAUAAAGUUCAAUAAAUUUGAUUCCUUAAUCAUAAAACCUUGCUUUACACAUUAUUUUUCAUGUUGCCAAAGCUGACAGCCAUGCAAAACAUCACAGAGGUUUAAUUAACUUCAUGCAUAAUAAUAUCACACAGAAGGAGGAGGAAGUAAUCAAGUAACAUAUGUCCAAAGAUUAAACUGUAGAUGUGCACAGUGCAUUUGGCACUGUUUAUAAAUAGUAUAAUGCCUUCCUCUGAGAGAGAAGUAUUCUUAAGCCUUAGACAUAAAAUAUAAUAAUUUACUGCUAGCACCAAAACCAUGUAACUUUGUAAUAGUAAUUAAAGAAUUUUAAGAAAUAUAGAACACAGCCAGCAUUAGAAAUGGAAUUCAAACCCUCUACUUUUCUUCCCCACCACCUGUCAGUUUGUCAUACUGUGGUGGCUUGCAUGUUGCUGGAAACUAUGCCACCAUUAUUUCAAAUACCAACACUAUCACCCAUGAUGGACAGGUUUCAGUGGAAUUUCCAGACUAAGACUAGGAAGAAAGGCCUGGACUUCCAAAAAUUAGCCAGUAAAAACCUUACGGAUCACAACUGAAUAUUGUCCAAUUUGCUUGCUUUGGACAUGUUAUCAGAAAGGAUCAAUCGCUGGAAGAGGACAUCAUGUUUGGUGAAGUAGAGGGCCAGCGAGGAGGGCCUCAGUGAGGUGGAUUGGUACAGUAGCCACAAUGAGGGACCCUAACAUGUUGGCAACUGUGAGGAUGACGUAGGACUGGGCAGCAUUUCAUUGUUCUGCUGUACGUGGAGUCUCCAUGGGUCAGAGUUGACUCAGUGCAGGGCUUUGAACUGGGUUGUUCUAGUUGGACCCCCCUGCUGAGAAUAUGCAUUUCCAUCCCAGAUAUGCUGAAUCAGAAUCGAUAUUUUAACAAGAUCCCCAGGUGAUUUCCAGAAUUUUGUUAAAACAUGGAUUCUGAUUCAGUAUAUCUGGGUUGAAAAUGUAAAUUCUUAGCAGGGGGUAGAAUCAGAAUGAACCAGUUCCAAGCCCUGACUCGAUGGCAGCUGUCUAUCUAUCUACCGACCAGCCUACCUACCUAACAAACUUUUUGCUAUGCUCCAAAUAGAUGCCAUCCAUAAAGCAGGUUUAAUUUGGUAAUUUUUACCAUUGUGGGGAUUGUCAAACAAUUUAAAGACAGUAUUCUUCAGUACACAUGAAAACUAACACUUUUCUUAAAAAUUAUCAGUUUUUCAUGGGAAUGCAGUCAAAGCAGGUCCUAUUUAUCCGUUAACAUCUGAUGAUUCUGGUAGGAAUCAUAGGUCGCUCAGGAAUCAUGAACGGCCAAUGCCAUUAAAGCUGUGGAGAUUGUACUAGCAGUUUCACUCACGCGCAGAAAAUUCUAGAAUGUCUAUAUCUGAAUUCAGAACUCUUAACAACCCGUUUUAAGGUUCUCUUCUGAGGACGAUAACAACCUCAAGCCACAGUUUAUGGAUUUACUUUACGGGUAACACUGUACUAUUAGGGAAUGGAAGGAGAAAAUAGAAGUAUAAAGACUCAAUUAUUAAACAUUUAGCAACUUGGACUAUAUCCCAAAGUGUAAUUUAAUUGAAUAACUUCAUUUUAACAAACAUUAAAUCUCUUCUCUUCGAUUGGGCCCAUUAAGUUUAAUUCAUUAAGGUCAUACAUACUCCACAAGGUUUAUAAAAGACAUUUAUGUCUACUCUUGUGUUGAUUUUAGUUUUUGAUUUUUUUGCUAUCACAAAUAACACUGCUUCACGUGCCAUGAUGCAGGUAUGUCUUUCCCUGGUGUACCUACUGAGGUGUAGAAACGCUGGGUGCGUACUUCUUCCAGCUUAAGAGAUGUUGCCAAAUAGUUAACCUAAAUGAUUGCACCAUUCUACACUUUUUCCACCAGAAUAGAUGACUUCCCGUUUUUCUACAUCCUUACUGAUGCAUUUUUAUUAAUCUGCUAAUGCAGGAGAGUUUCUGUUUGGUGCUAGUUUGUCUUUGAUGCUUCACUACCACUUGCCAACCUACCUUUCUCUCAGAGAUUGGGCCUUGGGGUCAGAAACUUCAGCAAGCAGUAGGAUCUAAGCUUUCAUAUUAUCAUCUAAUUUUGUGUUUGUUUUCCUGUGGUUGCCUAUUAUUCUUGCACAGGUGAUACUGACUUUUCAAUUUUGGUAGAGAGAUGGAAUUUUCUUUUAUAAUAAAUAAAGGUUAAAAGGUCAGGUUAAAGGAAAAUAUUAGGUGACUAAUAGUACCAAUUCAUGUGAUGAUGAGAAAAACCAUGCAGGGGACCUGAAUGAUUGAAGCAGGGAAGGCUGCCCUCCUGAUUCAUUACAGGCGAAAUAUCGUCGAGCUCUGAGACUAGUAGGUUCUGCAGCUGGGAAAAACCUCCCCAAGAGCUGCAGCAUUUCGGAAUUGAAAGAAAUCCUGGGGGUUGUGUCGUCUGACUUACUUGU